rnacentral:rRNA from 1 species
CACGUAGGGGCAAGCGUUGUCCGGAUUAUUGGCGUAAAGAGCUCGUAGGCGGCUUAGUAAGUCGGGUGUGAAACCUCCAGGCUCAACCUGGAGACCGCCACCCGAUACUUGCUGUGGCUAGAGUCCGGUAGGGGAGCGUGGAAUUCCUGGUGUGAGCGGGUAGAAAUGCGCAGAUAUCAGGAGGAACAGCCAGCGGCGAAGGCGGCGCUCUGGGCCGGUACUGACGCUGAGGAGCGAAAGCGUGGGGAGCAAACAGG